ensembl:lncRNA
GAUCUGGAACCCAAAUCAUGCUCUUCCUAUCACGCUACCUACCUUUUCUUUGUACCCUGGUCUGCAAAUGUCUUGUUUUCAGAACAAAGUUACUGUAGUCCAUCAGCUGAUCGCACCAGGGAAACCAUUUGGGGAGCAGGAUGGUAUUUUGAAAAACUCUAGUCUUGAAGAGAAGAGACCUCAUUUCUUCGCUGGAUAUAUAAACAGUCUUGUGUGAUCUUGAAGACGUGGAUGAACCCAGAGAUUGACACACUGAGUGAAGCAAGCGAGAAAGAAAACGUUGCACACUAACACGUGCACAUGGAAUCCAGGGAAACGGCACCAGAUGAACUCACUCACGAAGCAGAAUCUGAGACAGACACAGAGAACCCUCCUACGUUUUUAAGUGCACAGUGCAGCAUUGUUAACUGUGGACACAGUAUUGCACAGCAGAACUUUACUUGCGCUCCUCUCUUAUAUCUGAGACUUUAUACCCUAUGAAUAGCAAUUUUCCAUUUCCCCCUCCCCGAGCAGCUGGCAACCAUCAUUCUACUUUCCACGUCUAUAUAUUUGAUUAUUUUAGAAACCUCAUAAAAGUAGAAUCAUACAAUAUCUGUCCUUUUGUGACCAGCUUACUUUAUUUAGUAUAAUGUCCUCCAGACUUAUCCAUGUUAAUGCAUAUGGCAG